UUUGGAAGACAUUGAGAACAGAUUAGGAUAAAGACGAUUACUCAACUAAAAUGUGCGGUGUGGAAAGAACGGCUUAAAGGUAUCCAAAAAUUUGAGAAUAUACAGGGUUCCGCUUUUAGUAUUAUUAGCGAAUGAUUGAAGUAAUAUGGAGCUUUUAAAGAAUGCUUCAAAUGGUGUGAGAGGAUAGAGGCUGUCGCUGAACUAACAGAACUUGCACCCGCCAAAAAGAUUACUCCUGGAGAUUUUUCAGAAGUUUAUCGUACAAUAAAGAAGGUUAUCACAGAUGUAAACAUUACGAUAGGAAGAAGGAAAAAAUAGUUUCUGUUGCAGAAAGGGCAACCUUUUUAGGGGUCUAAGAACACUUCCCAAAAAAAAGAGGAAAAAAUGGAAAAAAAGAAAAGAAAAAGAAAAAAAGGAAAAAAGAAAAAAAAAGUAGAGAUGAUUACUCAACUAUGCCUGUGGAGCUUGAAGAUGUUGAGAAAGGUUCAAAUGGUGUGAGAGGAAAGAAGUUGUCGCUGAACUAACAAAGCUUGCAUCCACCAAAAAGAUUACCCCUGGUGAUUUUUCAGAAGUUUGUUGAACAAUUAAGAAGGUUAUAUCACAGAUGUAAACAUUACGAUAGGAUGAAAAAAGGAAAAAAAACGUUCCUGUUGCAGUUGAAGCUAUUCAAGCUCUGGGCAACCUGUAUAGGAGUCUGAGAACACUUCCCAAAAAAAGGAAAAAAAGGAAAAAAAAA